CGAAGAGAGGCGGCUGCAACCAGGGCCGCGUCGGCCCUCCCCGGCCACUCCACUUUUAUAGGCGUAGGAAGCGAGUGUGGCCCGGACACCGGAGUCCCCGCCUCUCCGCGCCCCCCGCGCGCCCGGCCCACCCCGGCCCGCUCCCGGGCGCUGCCUUACUCCGGGCCCCGGGCGCCCGCUCCGCGCCGCGUCUGCGAACCGGUGACCUGGUUUCCCCUCCAGCCCUCCCGGCGGUCCGACUCGCGCGGCGGCGGCGGUGGCGGCGGCGGCAGCCAAGAGCAGGCAAACCCGGCUCCGCCAGGGGCGCAGCGAGGAAAUGGCCUCCCGGCCGCACGCCCCGCCGCCGCCGCCGCCGCUGCCGACCGGGGCCGCCUGGCUGGCACCCGACGCCCCCCGCCCGGCUCGGGGCCAGCGCUGUGAAGUGUCCGCCAGUCCCGGCUCGCGGACCACUACCCGGCGGGCUGCACACACGCCGCCCGGGGCUGGCCGCCUCCGCACCUGCCGCCCCAGCUUCUUGUGAGCAUCUCACGGAAAGGGGCGAGAAGCCACCACCCCUGCUGACAGCAUUAACAACCACAACUGUCAAGAAGCCUAGAAUUGUUCCCGGCGCCUGGAUGCAGUGUUUCAGCGCGCUUCAAGAGGAAAAAUCGCAGACCUCGCGGCCCCCUGGUGAGAGGGAAGGAUCUCUUCCUUCAGACUCCACGGACCCUGUUUCCCCUGGGUCCUUGCCUCUAACUCCGUGCUUUAUUCUUCCCUCGUAAUGAGGCUGCACCAUAGGACUUGCAGUUUUUGUAGCUGGAGAGAAGUUGUUCUCCUUUGCAGGGAAGUUCCCGGGCUUUGCUCCAAAGCUGCCCCGGGAUGUUUUGGUUGGUUUGGAGGAAAGCUGGGGAGUCUGCACCAUUUAUUCCAAACAGGCGGCCCCCUGGUGGCUAACUGUGGGUGAAAAAGCUGGCCACGGAGGAAAAAGCCCGGCUCUGAAAGGCCACAACAGUUGACAGCCGGCUCUUCGCAGGGACCACGGAGCUGCGUGAACAAUUUUGUAACAAAGAGAGAGGGUGCUGUCAAUCUUCCUUCACAAAGGUGGAUAAAGAGCCCUAAAGCUUGCUGGAACUUUUCCUUUUUUCUCUUCUUGAGUAUAACUUGGAGCUAAAUUCCUCCUUGAGAAGGAAACAUCAUACAGAGAAUGAAUUACGUACAACAAAAACUGUUGCUUCCCUUUGUUCAAAUGGCUUUGUUUUUCUGCUCUCAUUUUGCCUGGAAACUUGUGAAAUAAAGAGUAAAUUAAAGCAUUAAAUAAAUAACGUGACAUUAUGCAAACAAUUCAUGAAACUGUGAUUGUAAUAAUGUUAUAUGACAAUGGGGGAGGGCAAUUUUAAUGCAACCUUAUUGAAACAGCAUGAACUACUAGGAUUCCCUUUGAACCGACCCUCUGAAGGCAGUCUUACAGGCUGCAUGGUGAUAAAGAAGGGUUACCAACAGAAGAUGGCAUUUAUUUUUCUGAUUUUACACAAGAGGGGGCAAUGGAAGAAAAUUUUAUGGGGACCUGAUUGAAAGCAGAAAAUAAUAUUCAAGCUAUAGAGCAUAUGGUCCUGUGUUCCAAUCUAGCAAAUUUGAGAGGGCACAUAGCAAAGCUGUUUUCAUGACCCCUGCUCACAUGCCAUGCCAGCCAUCCUCAUUACCAGGAUCUAUAGAUUACCAGCUGAUGACUUGGUUCAAGGAAGCAAUUCAUUCAUUUCAUUCAUAUAUCCAUUCAUUCAUCAGCUGCUGGGGUAAGAAGAUGAAUAAAACAUGGGAUCCAACAGGGCUGAGAUUACACUAAAGCCAAUGAGAUCAGUGGUGGAAGUACAGGGUCUGAGCCUGUCUUUAUUUAAAAGUUUGAUAUAUUUUCAUCACGCAUG
rnacentral:lncRNA from 1 species